GGCGGGACAUGGGGCUGUGAGAAAGAGAAGGGAGAGGGCAAAGAGAUGGUCGGGAGAUCGGGGGUUGAUUCGGCUACGCAGCGCUACCGCGGCCGACCCGGGAAACUCGGACGGGGUUGGUCCGAAAGCUCUCUCAGUCGCGGACAAGCCGCCACGCAGUGAUAACACCCUAUAUAACGCGGGCAACUUAAAUCCGAUCCGCGUCGUACGACUAGAAUCCUAUUCUGAUAAGAGCGACGCUACAGAUACGAAAAAUCUUUUUUCGGGACGAUAACGGGUCGCUUGGGAUGGAAUCUGAACAGUGAUGAAAGAAAUUCUAUGAGAUUGAAGAGCCAAGAUUAACCGGCUGUUCAUGUUCAUCACUGCUUCGCGUUAAUGGAGCGCAGCCUAUGGAAAGGGAUGCGAUGACACGCUGCCAGCCAAAGACGAAGGUUCCUUGAGACAGGAUUAGAAGGCCGCCUAAAAUCCGAGUAAACUCCUGUCUUCAUCUUAGAUCAAUUAAAUCAUCGACGUAAGCUUCUUGAAGAGCUUCAAACUUCGCGUACUAGAUUCCGUGCCGCGCAAAAUCUGCUUCGAUCACGCGCGGUUCAUAAAUCUGUGAAAAUUGUGGUCUUAUACGUGAUAACAGAUUGACUAAAGAAAAAGAAAAUUGUUAAAAAAAAAAAAAUCGCCCGAUCAAACCCGUAUGAUCGAAGGAUCGCCUGCUGAGGACAGAAUUACCCUAUGUCUUGCGAAUUUUUGAAAAGUCGAUUGUCGCGGCGUAGAGAUUUCGUAAACGAUGUGCUCGUCGGUGAAUUAAAGCGUGUACCUGGGCCGGUAGUUCAGACAAUCAAUAAUGCCGGGUCGUAAAACUUUGCGCGAGGCACGCAGCAGUGUUUGAUAAAUAAUGCAGUUCUAUCGGGUUGGUCGAUGUUCCGGGGUGUAAAGCAAAAAACGCUGGAUCAUCCUUGGCGCUGAGAGAAUCUCGAAACGUCUCACAACGUGAAUUACAACACGGACAUUGUGUUGUGUGCAUCGAUUUCGUGAAGUUGACUUGGAGUGCUUGAUCCUCACACGAACUAGAGACGAGGGUUAACAAGGUACGUGUAUUAUCCGGUAUAAGUGAUCGUGUGUACCACACGAGUGUUCGAGAAAGUGCGGAUCUCCUUCAAUUUUUUUUUUUUU